rnacentral:rRNA from 1 species
UGUCAGAGCCAUAUCUGCCUGCAGUUCACGCCUGGUUUCACACUGAAGCUAUGCAGGGUUGAGCCAAUACCUGGAUGGUAGACCUCCUGGGGAAAACUAAGGUUGCUGUUGGAA